rnacentral:rRNA from 1 species
UGGGCAUGGAUUAGGCAUGCAAGUCGAGUGGGUUCAGGCCCCCGGCAAACGGGUUAGUAAUACAUAGGAACGUACCCUCUAGCCGUGAAUAAUUUGUCGAAAGGCAAGAUAAUACACGAUGUGCUCUACGGAGUAAAGAUUUAUCGCUAGAGGAGCGGCCUGUGUCCUAUCAGCUAGUUGGUGGGGUAAUGGCCUACCAAGGCAAUGACGGGGGGGGGUGUGAGAGCAUGGCCCCCAACAUUGGAACUGAGACACUGUCCAAACUCCUACGGGAGGCUGCAGUCGAGAAUAUUCGUCGAUGGGCGAAAGCCUGAACGAGCGAUGCCGCGUGUGGGAUGAAGGCCCUUGGGUCGUAAACCACUUUUGUUAUAGAAAAACUUACGUGAUGGUAUAUAGCGAAUAAGAGGUUACUAACUCUGUGCCAGCAGUAGCGGUAAUACAGAGACCUCAAGCGUUAUCCGGAUUUAUUGGGCGUAAAGAGCAGGUAGGUGGAAAUAUUAGUCAGAUGUCAAAUCCUUCGACUCAAUCGAAGAACUGCAUUUGAAACGGUAUUUCUAGAGGGAGUGAGAGAUUACUGGAACUUAUGGUGUAGCAGUGAAAUGCGUUGAUAUCAUGAGGAACACCAAAGGCGAAGGCAUGUAAUUGGCACUCUCCUGACACUGAGCUGCGAAAGCGUGGGUAGCGAAUGGGAUUAGAUACCCCAGUAGUCCACGCCCUAAACGUUGCACACUAGACAUGCGGGGAAUCGACCCCUCUCGUGUCGUAGCUAACGCGUUAAGUGUGCCGCCUGGGAAGUACGGUCGCAAGACUAAAACUCAAAGGAAUAGACGGGGCUCACACAAGCGGU